GUUGGCUUGUCUCCCACUGAGCCUGGUGCUCUGACAGCUGGGGUUACACUGCCAAGGUCUCACUAACGUGGCGGACAAGACUGAAUUCUUACCCAGGAUGCCUGAAUUAACAAAAUGUACCAAGCUGAAAUACUCAAGCAGAUCAUUCUGGAUGGGGGUCCCAGAGAUGAGCACCCGUCGGCUGGUAUUCAAGCUGUCCAGGGCCUGGAUCAAGUUCAAAUUCAGUAGCAACUAGCACUUUUGCUUUGGGUGUAAAAAAUGACAACUGUGAAUUUAAAGUCAGUGAAAAAUGACUCAGUGAGAAACUGGACCCGACAUCGUGGGAUUGAAAACAUCUUCUUGACCAAAAGGGGAUGUGAAAUGAAACAAAAUAAAGUUUCAGUGGCUGAGAGACUCCAAAUGGAUAUAAGAGGUCACUCUGGUGGGCA